AAUUCUCAACUGCCUUUUAGCAUUUAUGUUAAGGGGUGAAGUUGGAGUUGGAGGAUAACUGCUGGCGCAACUUAGGUUGCUUGUUAGCUCCUCUUGAAUUGAUAAGCUUUUCUGAUGGAUCAUAGCUCAGUAAUACUAAUGUGAUAAUUAUCUACAUUAGAUGUGAAAGCUAUGAGUAGAGUGACUUCAAUUGUGGAGAAGCUCCUAUUAGAAAGCAUGUGUUUUGGGGGGAUAAUAAUAA
rnacentral:misc_RNA from 1 species